rnacentral:rRNA from 1 species
UACGUAGGGUGCAGGCGUUAAUCGGAAUUACUGGGCGUAAAGCGUGCGCAGGCGGUUUGCUAAGACAGGUGUGAAAUCCCCGGGCUUAACCUGGGAACUGCGCUUGUAACUGGCAAGCUAGAGUGUGGCAGAGGGGGGUGGAAUUCCACGUGUAGCAGUGAAAUGCGUAGAGAUGUGGAGGAACACCGAUGGCGAAGGCAGCCCCCUGAGCUAACACUGACGCUCAUGCACGAAAGCGUGGGGAG